rnacentral:sRNA from 1 species
AUCUCCAGGGCCUCGUACAGAACUUGUAGGAGUCUUUAGUGAAUGAGAGAGAAUACUGGGAAGAGGGUAGCGGAAUGGAUCUUCAUGAAGUCCAGGACAAUCUUAGCUUCCAGAACAUUUUCUUGCCCCGAGCCUUUCUUCUCCCUUUCUGCCCCCACCCACAAACCGGAGCCCUCACCUCCUCGGUGUGUUAGAACCCAUUACUAAAACUUUGCUUUUUUACUUCACAGGAACUGUUUGUGGAGACCAUUGCAAAAGAUGCCUACUGUUGCGCUCAGCAGGGAAAAAGGAAAACCCUUCAGAGGAGAGACUUGGAUAAUGCAAUAGAAGCUGUGGAUGAAUUUGCUUUUCUGGAAG